UACAGAGGUCCCAAGCGUUGUUCGGAUUCACUGGGCGUAAAGGGUGCGUAGGUGGUGAGGUAAGUCGGAUGUGAAAGCUCGGAGCUCAACUCCGAAAUGGCAUUGGAAACUACCUUGCUCGAGGGUUGGAGGGGGGACUGGAAUACUUGGUGUAGCAGUGAAAUGCGUAGAUAUCAUGAGGAACACCAGAGGCGAAGGCGACUUCCUGGACAAUUGCUGACGCUCAGGCACGAAAGCAUGGGGAGCAAAAGGG
rnacentral:rRNA from 1 species